rnacentral:rRNA from 1 species
UCCAUGCCAGUCGAGCGGAACGAGUUAUCUGAACCUUCGGGGAACGAUAACGGCGUCGAGCGGCGGACGGGUGAGUAAUGCCUAGGAAAUUGCCCUGAUGUGGGGGAUAACCAUUGGAAACGAUGGCUAAUACCGCAUGAUGCCUACGGGCCAAAGAGGGGGACCUUCGGGCCUCUCGCGUCAGGAUAUGCCUAGGUGGGAUUAGCUAGUUGGUGAGGUAAUGGCUCACCAAGGCGACGAUCCCUAGCUGGUCUGAGAGGAUGAUCAGCCACACUGGAACUGAGACACGGUCCAGACUCCUACGGGAGGCAGCAGUGGGGAAUAUUGCACAAUGGGCGCAAGCCUGAUGCAGCCAUGCCGCGUGUGUGAAGAAGGCCUUCGGGUUGUAAAGCACUUUCAGUCGUGAGGAAGGUGGUGGUGUUAAUAGCUCUAUCAUUUGACGUUAGCGACAGAAGAAGCACCGGCUAACUCCGUGCCAGCAGCCGCGGUAAUACGGAGGGUGCGAGCGUUAAUCGGAAUUACUGGGCGUAAAGCGCAUGCAGGUGGUUUGUUAAGUCAGAUGUGAAAGCCCGGGGCUCAACCUCGGAAUAGCAUUUGAAACUGGCAGACUAGAGUACUGUAGAGGGGGGUAGAAUUUCAGGUGUAGCGGUGAAAUGCGUAGAGAUCUGAAGGAAUACCGGUGGCGAAGGCGGCCCCCUGGACAGAUACUGACACUCAGAUGCGAAAGCGUGGGGAGCAAACAGGAUUAGAUACCCUGGUAGUCCACGCCGUAAACGAUGUCUACUUGGAGGUUGUGGCCUUGAGCCGUGGCUUUCGGAGCUAACGCGUUAAGUAGACCGCCUGGGGAGUACGGUCGCAAGAUUAAAACUCAAAUGAAUUGACGGGGGCCCGCACAAGCGGUGGAGCAUGUGGUUUAAUUCGAUGCAACGCGAAGAACCUUACCUACUCUUGACAUCCAGAGAACUUUCCAGAGAUGGAUUGGUGCCUUCGGGAACUCUGAGACAGUGCUGCAUGGCUGUCGUCAGCUCGUGUUGUGAAAU